UACGAAGGGUGCAAACGUUGCUCGGAAUUAUUGGGCGUAAAGCGCACGUAGGCGGCUUGGCAAGUCGGAUGUGAAAUCCCUCGGCUCAACCAAGGAAGUGCAUCCGAAACUGCUGAGCUUGAGUACUUAAGAGGAUCGCGGAAUUCCCGGUGUAGAGGUGAAAUUCGUAGAUAUCGGGAGGAACACCAGUGGCGAAGGCGGCGAUCUGGGUAGAUACUGACGCUGAGGUGCGGAAAGCGUGGGGAGCAAACAGGGAUUA
rnacentral:rRNA from 1 species